rnacentral:rRNA from 1 species
GAAUUACGAGCCCAAGCUUAAAACCCAAAGGACUUGACGGUGUCCCAUCCCCCUAGAGGAGCCUGUUCUAUAAUCGAUUCUCCCCGAUCCACCUCACCGCCCCUUGAACACCCAGUCUGUAUACCUCCGUCGCAAGCUUACCAUGUGAACGCUUAAUUAGUGAGCUCAAAAAUCUAACACUCACACGUCAGGUCAAGGUGCAGCCCACGGGCCGGAAAGAAAUGGGCUACAAUCUCUAUCAUAGAACAAACGGAAACCUGCGUGCAAUACAGUAAUCAAGGCGGAUUUAGAAGUAAAAAGAAACUAGAGAGUUCUUUUUAAUUGGGCGCUGGGACGCGUACACACCGCCCGUCACCCUCUUCAAAUUUAUAUGCAUGUUACUAACAUCAAAAACCUUAACAGAAGAGGCAAGUCGUAACACGGUAAGCGUACUGGAAAGUGCACUUGGAAUAACAAAAUGUAACUUAACAAAAGUACCCUGCUUACACCAAGAAUAUAUUCGUGAAACCCGAAUCAUUUUGAGCCUAAAACCUAGCCCUACCUGCCCUUAAUAAAAAUAUUAUACCAAACAAUUGUAAUAAAACAUUUUCUCAGCCAAGUAAAGGCGAUUAAAAAGCACCUAGGAGCUCCAACACUAGUACCGCAAGGG